UACGAAGGGGGCUAGCGUUGCUCGGAAUUACUGGGCGUAAAGGGCGCGUAGGCGGAUAUCUAAGUUGGGGGUGAAAUCCCGGGGCUCAACCUCGGAAUUGCCUUCAAAACUGGAUAUCUUGAGUUCGGGAGAGGUGAGUGGAACUCCGAGUGUAGAGGUGAAAUGCGUAGAGAUGCGGAGGAACACCGAUGGCGAAGGCAGCCCCCCUGGGCUAAGACUGACGCUGAGGCACGAAAGCGUGGGGAGCAAACAGG
rnacentral:rRNA from 1 species